GAUAUGUCUCAAUCUGCACUUAACUGAGAGCCUUUGGGUAAGGGGAGCGUAGUCUCCUCUAAAAAAAAACACAGCACCAAGAUUCCAUCCAAAAUCCCAGGCUUUUUUUUAUUUCACAGGGAAGAAAUCUAGCACACAUAAUUAAAGGAGGCAGCGGCCAGAGGGGACUGUCUGCAAAAAAUAUUUGACGAAGGUAAAACGAAGAAAGGACUUUAAGUCUUUGUUCCCAGCAGCACCAAAAAAAAACCAAGAGGGAUUACAAGAUUUAAAAACAAUCCGGGCGCUGUGGGUUAAGAAAUAAUUCCAUUCCAAUAAUCCCAUCCGAUGACGCUCUGUGAACAUGCCAAACCCCUUCCAUCCUGAGCUCAGAGAACUGGGUGUCCAGGUGAUCUUACUUCUGUUUCCAUCUUUCCGACUCCAUUUCUCUCCUUGGAGUUCGACAUAUCGUAGGCCUGGUUAGUUUAGUGGACGUCACCAAGACUCGAAAGGUCACUAAUUUUAAGGCAAAAUUAAGAAGCUGCUCUUCUCAACACUGACACGAAUCCUGGUCUCCCGUCUAUUAUCCAAGAUGAGUAACUUUGCUCAGAUUCGGCAACUAACCUGACAACAUGAAUUCUCCCAAUCGACUUACCACACCAAGGUUCGGCAAAAGUCUCAUCUGCGAAAACUUACUCACUUUCCUAUUUAUUUCAAUUGAGAAUUAAAGAAAAGCACAUCUUAUCAGUAAUAAAACAUUUCGGGAUUUUGUUGAAAGAAUUAUGAUUUCAAGCACACUUUGAACUUCAAGGGCAAUGCAAUCAAUGGUUUCUUCAGCCUUCGCAGAUCUGCAGUGGCCUGGUACCCCAAACCAUCACAUAGUUUCAAGUUGAGCAAGACGUGACCACAUUGCAGCAGCAUUGCAAAUUAAUAAAGUCUGCCAACAGGUCUGGAGUAUGCUAGGUAAACUCUAAUAAGCAAAAUAGAUUCACUUGCUUUAAAAGCAAUGAUGCUUAGAAAAAUAUUUGGUUGGAUCAGUAUCAUGUAGAAUUUGAAAAUAACAAAAUAAAAUUUCUCAGUGUGAA